rnacentral:rRNA from 1 species
UACAGAGGGUGCGAGCGUUGUCCGGAAUCACUGGGCGUAAAGGGCGCGUAGGCGGCUUUGCAAGUUAGAGGUGAAAGCCCGGGGCUCAACUCCGGAAUUGCCUUUAAAACUGCAUCGCUAGAAUUGUGGAGAGGUAAGUGGAAUUCCGAGUGUAGAGGUGAAAUUCGUAGAUAUUCGGAAGAACACCAGUGGCGAAGGCGGUUCUCUGGGCCUGUACUGACGCUGAGGAGCGAAAGCGUGGGGAGCGAACAGG